UAUGUCCAAUUAAUCAAACUUAAAUCACUAAUCUAUACCAAUUAAAACCAAUUAGAUCUCAUUAAACUCACAUCAAUGUAAAAGCAUUACUAUAAGAAAAUUGGAUUAAGAAAGGGAUCUAGGGUUACUCAAAUGUGACGCAUCAGCUUCCUCUUUCUCAGACGAAUGCGCGGCGGUGGCUGGAGCUUCACCGAUUCAAACCUCACCUUCUCCGAUUCAAAGUCCGGCCACCACAAACUCGACAGAUCUCUCUCACUCGCCCUCACUCUCUUCUCAACACGAUGUCGCGAUCUCCGCCUUCUCCUUCGUGACAAAGCGGCGGGCGGGAACUAAGUCUUCUCCGACGAAAUCGAACUCUCCGGCCUCCGUACAUAUUUUUGAGAGAUGACGUGGAGGCGAAUUGAAGAUGCUGAGAUGCGAUAUGAAGAUGAUGUUGUUGCGAUGAAGAUGAUGAAAUUCGCGGUGAGGUCUAAGUAAUGCUUGAAGCGUGAUGGAUGUUGAAGUUGUAAAUCGAUUAAGAAUCGAAUUAUGGCGGAGAAACGUUGAAGGUGAUGAUUAUGGUGGUUUUUGUGAAUGAUGAAGAUUGUCGAAGGUUCUUGAAGAUGAUGAAGUUUUUGGAGAAUUCGGUUACGAUUUCUGUUGCACUUUUCUGUUGUUGAAGAUGAAUGGAGAGAGUUUUUUUUUGAGAUUGAGGAGUUGUUUUCGGUUGUGAGUUUAAGAAAUUGAGAGAGUGAAGGUCGGUUAUGGAGGAUGAAUCUGGAUUCAGAGAUUAUGGUUGGAGAAGGUGAUUCCAUGAUGAUGAGAGAAAGAUAAUGAAGAUGAGGAUCGAGAGAGAGGUUCAAAAGUUUGUUACGAUCUUUUUUGGCUUGUAUGCUUGGAAUGUCCUUGGCAUUGUUUAAAAAAAAAGCAGCAAAGGUCUAUUGGGCUUCCACUGGAGAUUGAAGAUUAGGAUAGAUAAAGAGAUUUGGUUUUGAUGUGUAAUGGAAAUAUGUAGAAUAUUUGGACUGUUGAAGUGGAACUUGGAAAUUGUAAUGGAAUGGUUUUAAUGUUGGAAAGAACUUUGAAGAAUGUCAUGAAGAAAUUAGAUUUUGAACAUGAUUUUUUGUAUAAUUUUUGUAAUAAAGUGGGCUUCAUAAUUUGAAUGUGCUUGGACUUAAUUUGAAUUAUUUUGUAGUGAAUGAUAAAUGGAUAUUGUAUGGAUACUUGUAAAGUUUUGAAUUUUGUAUGGAAAUGGUGAGUGAUAUUCGAAUCAACACUUGCAUGGAUACUCUUUUAGUGAAUAAACUCCAAUUCUCUUGCAAAAUUCAAUGGACCUCUAAUUCGAUCCAAUUCAUCAAUCAAACUCAAACUUGUACGAUAAGUCACCAAGAAAUUGAAACUAAAAUGACGCCUUGAACACAAUGUUCUCCUCAAGUUUAUAAUCUUGUACCAUGACUUGUUCAUUUGCAAUUCACCUCAUAGGCCCUUGACUUAAUGACCUCGAAAUA